rnacentral:rRNA from 1 species
UACGUAGGGUGCGAGCGUUAAUCGGAAUUACUGGGCGUAAAGCGUGUGCAGGCGGCUCUGUAAGUCAGCUGUGAAAGCCCCGGGCUUAACCUGGGAACUGCGGUUGAAACUACAGGACUAGAAUCUGGCAGAGGGGGGUGGAAUUCCACGUGUAGCAGUGAAAUGCGUAGAGAUGUGGAGGAACACCGAUGGCGAAGGCAGCCCCCUGGGCUGAGAUUGACGCUCAGGCACGAAAGCGUGGGGAGCAAACAGG